UACGAAGGGGGCUAGCGUUGCUCGGAAUCACUGGGCGUAAAGCGCACGUAGGCGGUCUUUUAAGUCAGGGGUGAAAUCCUGGAGCUCAACUCCAGGACUGCCUUUGAUACUGGGAGACUUGAGUCCGGGAGAGGUGAGUGGAACUGCGAGUGUAGAGGUGAAAUUCGUAGAUAUUCGCAAGAACACCAGUGGCGAAGGCGGCUCACUGGCCCGGUACUGACGCUGAGGCACGAAAGCGUGGGGAGCAAACAGG
rnacentral:rRNA from 1 species